CAGCAGCCGCGGGAAUACGGAGGGUGCAAGCGUUAAUCGGAAUUACUGGGCGUAAAGCGCACGCAGGCGGUCUGUCAAGUCAGAUGUGAAAUCCCCGGGCUUAACCUGGGAACUGCAUUUGAAACUGGCAGGCUAGAGUCUUGUAGAGGGGGGUAGAAUUCCAGGUGUAGCGGUGAAAUGCGUAGAGAUCUGGAGGAAUACCGGUGGCGAAGGCGGCCCCCUGGACAAAGACUGACGCUCAGGUGCGAAAGCGUGGGGAGCAAACAGGAUUAGAUACCCCUGUAGUCCCUGUCUCUUAUAA
rnacentral:rRNA from 1 species